rnacentral:lncRNA from 1 species
UUGGAUAAAAUUGUGUUACAAAGAGAAAAAGUUCAAGGAAAAUCUGACAAAAGUACUCCUGAUAAAUUAAGUCAAAAAAAAUUUGUACAACCAGCAGAAAAAGGGAAAAAAAUUAAUCAGAAAGAUCCGCAAAAAGAAGCCCAACGUGUCAACAGCUAUCGAACUAUGGACUAUCUUCAAAAAAAUAAACCGCACUGGAGAUUUAAUCUACCAUUCACUCAAGAAUAUAAUGAAGAAUCUCAAAAAGCAAAUAACG